rnacentral:rRNA from 1 species
UGGCUGUCGUCAGCUCGUGUCGUGAGAUGUUGGGUUAAGUCCCGCAACGAGCGCAACCCUCGUCCUUAGUUGCCAGCAUUAAGUUGGGCACUCUAAGGAGACUGCCGGUGUUAAACCGGAGGAAGGCGGGGAUGACGUCAAGUCCUCAUGGCCCUUAUGUCCAGGGCUACACACGUGCUACAAUGGCCGGUACAAAGGGUAGCAAGACCGCGAGGUGGAGCCAAUCCCAAAAAGCCGGUCUCAGUUCGGAUUGGAGUCUGCAACUCGACUCCAUGAAGUUGGAAUCGCUAGUAAUCGUGGAUCAGCAUGCCACGGUGAAUACGUUCCCGGGCCUU